rnacentral:tRNA from 1 species
UGGGGUGUGGCUCAGUGGUAGAGCACUUGCCUUGCAUGCAUGGGGCGCUGGGUUCUAUCCUAAGCAACACAU